GCAGCUGUGCUAUUUGAGCAGUCAAAUUGCAUUGACUGUAUAUUUAUAUGUGAUAUACAGUCACUGACCGUAUAUCACCUUGUUUAUGACGUUGACAAUGUGUUUCCGUAGAGUUUUAUUUAUGACGUCAAUAAAACAUACAGGUUCGCGGAAAUUUAACGUUGUCCGCUUCAAAUUAAGAAAUGAUGUUUUUUACCCAAAAUACUUCAUUUAGAACAGUUUUAAGAGUUGCAGUAUAUAAAGAAUAACCAUACAUUGU
rnacentral:lncRNA from 1 species